GAGAAAUGAGACAAAGCCAGCCUUUUAGGUGACACUGAACACAGUCUCCCUGCAGCACAGCACACCCAGCCUUGGGCCAGGACCUGGAGGGAGACCCCUGGAGCCGAGUUGAGAGGUGAAGCUCCAGAAGAACUAGAGAAGGACGAGCAAAACCAUGGUACUUUCAUGGAAAUAUCAGAGUGCUCAGAGGGUCUUCAGGCUGUGGGUAUGGACAGUGCUCUGUUGUGAUUUCUCUGCAUAUCAUGGAACCGACGGCUGGACUUAUCAUUACUCUCAAAAAGUCAUGAACUGGGCAAACGCUAGAAAGUUCUGCCAAGAAAACUACACAGAUUUAGUUGCCAUACAAAACAAGGGGGAAAUUGAGUACCUGAACAGGACGCUUCCCUUCAGCCGUACUUACUACUGGAUAGGAAUCCGGAAGGUAGGAGGGGUAUGGACGUGGGUGGGAACCAACAAGUCUCUCACUGAAGAAGCGGAGAACUGGGGGGACGGGGAACCCAACAACAAGAAGACGAAAGAGGACUGUGUGGAGAUCUACAUCAAGAGGGCCAGAGACGCAGGGAAAUGGAACGACGACGCCUGCAACAAACCGAAGGCCGCCCUCUGUUACACAGCUUCUUGUCAGCCCUUGUCAUGCAGUGGCCACGGAGAAUGUGUGGAAACCAUCAAUAAUUACACGUGCAACUGUGACGUGGGGUACUAUGGGCCCCAGUGUCAGUUCGUGUUUCAGUGUGAGCCUUUGCAGGCCCCCGAGCUGGGUACCAUGGCCUGUAUUCACCCUUUGGGAAACUUCAGCUACAGCUCACAGUGUACCUUCAAUUGCUCUGAGGGAACAGACAUGAUUGGGCUUGAAGAAACCACCUGUGGACCAUUUGGAACGUGGUCAUCUCUAGAACCAACCUGUGAAGUGAUUUCAACGUGUAAGCUCCUAACAGCACCCGAUUUGGGGACCAUGGACUGUAGUCACCCCCUGGCCGAAUUCAGCUUUACCUCCUCGUGCACCUUCAACUGCUCAGAAGGCACUCAGUUGAUUGGGGAGCCGGAAACAAUCUGUGGAUCAAAUGGAAUCUGGCUGAACCCUAGUCCAAUAUGUCAAAAACUGGACAGGAGUUUCUCAAUGAUCAAGGAAGGAGACUACAACCCCCUCUUCAUUCCAGUGGCAGUCAUGGUUACUGUAUUCUCGGGGCUGGCAUUUAUCAUUUGGCUGGCACGACGAUUGAAAAAAGGCAGAAAGUCUCAGAAAAGGAACACAUGCUGAGAAGAGAUGCAGACGUGUGAAAAGGCACGGCCCAUCUCACAGAAAUGAAGCAUGGACGAUCCGUAUUAAACCACCCUCCGUGAAAGAAAAUUCUCGGGAUCCUAAAGCACCGCUGGAUCCUUCUACCUCCCCAUGAGAAGUUCCGCACGCGGUGGCGUCUCCUCCCCUGAGAUGACCUGUGUCACUUUCGGGGCAUCUGAAAAGAUUUCUUCGCUCCCGUUGCGCCCCUCGCCCACUCCCACCCCCAGCCCGCAGUUGUGUUUGCCAUAGCUCAGCGUUGCAUUCUCUUUUCCAUGCAUAAACAAGACCACAGGGGAAAAGGCAUGCUGUGGGACGUAAAAGCAUCCAAUUUCCUUCUCUCCACUCGUUUCCAGGUUCAGUGCAACGCUGUACCUGAUGACGCAUACACUUCUAAACACAGUGAAGAUUUGAUACGUGUGCGCCCACAGGUGCAGCUGUGUUGCAGAUCACAUUUGACCUCCUGGCCAUCCAGGACACUGUGGGGCGUGGGCGGAGGGUACAUUCUCACAGGAAGGUCAUGGAAUUCAUGUCACCCUGCCUUCCGACUCCAGCAAAGUAAUGGAUCUCUGCUCCAAACCGGAAAAGUCCUAUUUGCACUGUAGGCCCACCGGCUGUGAAUGGAGGCCUUCCUACUUCACCGCCGCCAGCCUCCCCACCGCCUUCAGCCCGCUCCUCUUGGCAAUUGGCUGAUUUCCACACACAGCAUCUCAUGAGCACCAAACAGAAGGAACCAGGAGAAAAGGCAGCCGGCCUUGCUUUUUUUUUUUUUUUUGAAUUUGGGUUUUGUUGUCUCUUUGUGGUAGGCCCACCCAGAGAUUUUUUGAAUUCAAUGUUUCUUUUAUAACCACUACAUUGUUAAUAAAGAAACAUCAUCACCAGAAUGCCAGCUGCAGGCAACGUCUCUUUGAUGUCAUACAGAAGAGACAAGGAGAAAGAAAUGCCUUCCCUCGAGCUGAAGCGCUCCCCCUCCCUGCCCCCAAUUCUCUUAUCCAUCUGUCUAGAUUCCAUCUAUUCUUUAAGAUUCAUCUCAGGCCUCCCCACCCUCACCUCUUCUUUCACAAGUCUGACUCCUGGCAGUGUCCCCUUCCUGGCUUCCUACUGCAAAGUUUUUGAACUUAAGUACAGGUGUUGUUUUUUUUUUACUGUUACCUAGUUUGUCAUUUAAAAAAUUAUCAUAUAUACAUUGCCUCCCCAAUGAAGUUCUACCCUCCCUAAGCGCAGAGAUUGUGCCGCAUCCCUGGAGUGUCUCGUGCAUUACUUGAUGUUCAAUAAAUGUGUAUUCAAAUAAACCAGGAAGAGUAUCGCGUG